GAUGAACGCUAGCGGCAGGCCUAAUACAUGCAAGUCGAACGGUGUAGCAAUACACAGUGGCGCACGGGUGCGUAACACGUAUGCAACCUACCUUACAUCGGGGGAUAGCCUUUCGAAAGGGAGAUUAAUACCGCAUAAGACAGUAACUAGGCAUCUAGUAGCUGUUAAAGAUUUAUCGAUGUAAGCUGGGCAUGCGUCCAAUUAGUUAGUUGGCGAGAUAAUGGCUCACCAAGACGAUGAUUGGUAGGGGAACUGAGAGGUCAAUCCCCCACACUGGCACUGAGAUACGGGCCAGACUCCUACGGGAGGCAGCAGUAGGGAAUAUUGGGCAAUGGGCGCAAGCCUGACCCAGCCAUGCCGCGUGCAGGAAGAAGGCGUUAUGCGUUGUAAACUGCUUUUAUACAGGAAGAAACGACCCUUGCGAGGGGCAUUGACGGUACUGUAUGAAUAAGCACCGGCUAACUCCGUGCCAGCCGCCGCCGUAAUAC
rnacentral:rRNA from 1 species